ACCUUUUUCUGGCUUAUACGCAUGAUAAUUGGGUGUUUAUGAAUCUCUGUGGCUCAUGCCUUCCUUUAACAUUGCUAAGACAUCAGCAUAUAGCAAUUUGGUAUGACA